rnacentral:rRNA from 1 species
AGUGAACGCUGGCGGUAGGCCUAACACAUGCAAGUCGAACGGCAGCACAGGAGAGCUUGCUCUCUGGGUGGCGAGUGGCGGACGGGUGAGGAGUACAUCGGAAUCUACCUUUUCGUGGGGGAUAACGUAGGGAAACUUACGCUAAUACCGCAUACGACCUACGGGUGAAAGUGGGGGACCGCAAGGCCUCACGCGAUUAGAUGAGCCGAUGGCCGAUUAGCUAGUUGGCGGGGUAAUGGCCCACCAAGGCGACGAUCGGUAGCUGGUCUGAGAGGAUGAUCAGCCACACUGGAACUGGGACACGGUCCAGACUCCUACGGGAGGCAGCAGUGGGGAAUAUUGGACAAUGGGCGCAAGCCUGAUCCAGCCAUACCGCGUGGGUGAAGAAGGCCUUCGGGUUGUAAAGCCCUUUUGUUGGGAAAGAAAUCCUGUCGAUUAAUACUCGGUGGGGAUGACGGUACCCAAAGAAUAAGCACCGGCUAACUUCGUGCCAGCAGCCGCCGUAAGAC